CAGGUCAUUAGGGUGAUAGUGCUCUCUACCAUGAUCCAGGAUAUUUACUCUGGCAAGCACUUGGUUCCAGGAACUGCCUCACACCAUGGGGACUGCCUCCCAGCGCCACGUCAGGUGGCAAUGCCUUAAGGGAGAGGGCCCUGUACAGAUAAGUCUGCCUAAUGAACUCUACAUCCUGCUCCUGGCGACACAGCACUCCAAGUCCAGCCGUGAUCCAGCCAGCUGCCGACUCCCAUCUGAGCCUCUGCUUUCCAGACCUUUCUGCAGCCUGGGCUCCCCUAGAAGCAGAACAUGGGGAGACUGGAGGAGUGAACUCCAGACUGGAACGAAGAACUGGGACGUCAGUGGCUGGACGUGGGCACAGAGUCCUGGGCUGGCUCGGGGGAGUCACAGACCCAUUGGACUUGAGGAGUAGCAGUCCGGGGAACAGGACCUGAUCUCUAGAACUGCCACACUGCAGACGGUUCCAUUUUCCACAAGAAAAACAAAAUACAAGACAGAGGAACAAGAAAGCAGGACCCAUUCACACGAGGAAAAAAGCAGCCAGUGGAAUUUGCUCAGAGAAAGCCCAGGCAUUGAAAAUAUUAGACAAAGACUCAUUUUUAAAAGAGGUUCAGCAAACUUGAAGGCAACACAAUUGAAAUUGUCCAUCCUGCAGAGCAAAAGGAAAAGGAACAGACCUAAGGCCCAGGGGGAUGCUGUCCAGAAGGUGGGACACGAAUCACCAUGGGACCCGAGUCCACCCCUAGGUCACGGAGCUGAACCAGAAGCCAGGGCUCCAGCAGAUACCUGUCUACCAUCCUCUACCCACAACAGCCCCAGCACAAAAGCAGCCCCAAUGCCCAUCCUCAGAUUAACAGCCAAGCAAAAUGUGGAAUCCUAGGGGACAAAGUUAAAGAAAAAAGUUUGCCCAUGGCUUUGGGAAGAAGUAUCUGCAUGACAUUGGGGCUACUCCGCAGGUCUUCGCCUCCCUGAGCUGCACCUGGCAAAGAACCACAGUGGGUCAGAGUCCGUAAGGUAAGCUGCCCUUGGCCCUGAGCGAGAUUUCCAGACAGCCAGCACGAAACGAGGCUGCUCCAGAGCCCAGAGCAGCACAUGAUAGGGGCUCCGAAGGACACAAGACAGUCCCUGAAUUAAAAUCACCUGGGUUUCCUGACAACUCCCAGUGGACUUGUACUGAGAAACUGAUGUGACUCUAUUUUUGAGAAACCAGCCUCUACCUCAGAGCAAAGCCUGUCCAAGGAAGGGGGCGUGACUCUUGUCCUUGGAAAAACCCACAGAGCACUCCUAAGCACAUACCCACCCUGCUGAGUGGUUUGUCUGCAAAUAACAGGACAGAUCUGCAGCCCUAGGUGUCUCUGACUCAGUUAGGCUAGGUGGGGACCCAUAGCAACCCCCUAGCAACCACCAAUCAGCAUGAGACAGGGAAAAUACUUGGGAUGCCAGAUGACCCCCAGUAGUUUAUGGUGGUUGAUAAUAUGUUGGGAAACCAUGUAUUUUAGCACUUACUCCCCUCAUGGCUUAAACCAAUCAGUUUAAAGGAAUCCCCCUCUUGUACUAACCAAUCACCCCUAUCCAACUUGUUCCCACCAGUGAAUGUGCUAAUCAAUGUUAAGAGUUGUAGUUAGACUUUCUUGCGGUGUGAAAUGAUUUUCUGUUUGAUGUUGUGACACAUAGAGUAUCCCCAAAACCUAUAAAAUCAAACUGAACACUCCCUGGGACCGCUGUGUCAGAAAUGGUUGUGAGUCCAAGCCCUUGCAAUAAAGACUCUUGUGUGAUUGCAUCGGAUUCGGCUCCUAGAGGUCUAUUGGGGUCCCAUGAACCUGGCAUUACAGUACAUAUCCCUGAAGGUGAGUGACUGUCAACUUGGGGACUCUAAUAAUGUCCAAACUUUGCUUUAAAGCUUUGGAGAAAAGAGAGGGAUAAACCGCUCCCUCCAAAGGACGGUCUCCAGGUAGGUGGAAAGGUAAGACCAUUAUAUGGAAUCUCUCGGACUCCAUUACAGCCUUGGGACCAUCUUGUGACUAACAGCCCCCAGCAAGGCCAGGGCUCAUUCCCACCUGCACAGAUCUGGGAACUGCAGAUGAAAGCAAAUUUGCCUGGCUCCGCAGCAGGAUUUCUCAAGGUUCGCUGGCUUGAUGUGAGUUCGGGAGGUUUCCUGGGAGUCAGCAGCAGCUGGGUUAUAGGAGCCAGGGGCAGCCUGUAGGUUAACCCUUUGCUCACAGGCAGGUUCCACUGUUGUCCCUUACUGUGUGACAAGACACACACACACACACACCUCUUAAUGAAAUGUAUCUUUUUGUACCUACAAAAUGUUUCUUACUAAUUUUUUUUUAAAACUACCUAAAUAGAGUUCAUAUUACCAAAUACUAAUUAAAAUCAUUGUAACCCAUUUGAUUCCUUAGCUUUUCUUUCUAGACGCUGGGCUAAUAUUCAAUGGGCUGUCCCAGAGCCUGCAGCAGGGGUCAGCAUUGGAGGCUGCAAGCCAAGUUUACACACCCCUUGUUCUUUAAUGGCCACGGAGGGGCUUUAAGUGGUUGGAGAAAGAAGAGUAGCAGUUCAUGGCCCCUGGAAGCUGUAGGAAGCUGGAGUUCCAGGCCCACAGGUAGGCACAGCGGGACCCCCUGUUCAGGAUUGUCUGUGGCUGCCUUCCUCCUCAAAGGGCACAGUGCAGUAGUGGCCCAGAGGUCACGGAGUGCAGAAAGCCCAGGACAGUCCUCUCUGGCUCUUCACAGAAGCUCAGCCAGGACUCUUCACUGCUGGUUGUUUGGGGGUCUCCUCAGGUCCCUGCCCUGCCCCAAACAGAACCUGUCUCAACAAUUCCAUGUCCACAUCUAUUAAUACCAUCCACAGCUACUUUGUAUCACCUGACGCCCACUUACACAUAAGCAGCACUUCCUCAUCACAUUUAACCUCACUAUUUACUUUAUAAGGAGAACUAUUGAAUCCUGUCAGAAAAUAAGACCUCACCAGCUAAUUUCUUUUCCAGGGACAAUCAUAUUUGUACACAAUGGGCUACUAUUAUCAGCAGGAAAAAUGUCCCUUCUAAAUGUCAAAAAAUUCUCUUCUAGUUAAUGAAUUCCUUGUAGAAAACAAAACCAGGCAGAGGCCCUGGCAUUCUGUUUAAAUGUGACUCGUGGGAUCCCCCAGACACCCAGGAGCCUGAGGGCUGGGCAGAGUGGGGGCUGUGUUGGCCCCCAGGGCUUAGGAAGAACUGAGAACCCCAGAGGGCAAAUUGUGCUUCCUCUUAACCUCCGAAAUGCCAGGAGGGAGGGGGGGAGGGAGGGGGCUGUGAGAGAGGAAGGCAGCCUGGGCCCAGCAGGGAAUUUCCAAAGGACAGGGACAGAGGUCUGUCUUUUGUGGAUCAAUUCAGUCAGAAACUGUAAGAGCAGAGGAAUGUGUUUGGGGCCCUUAGAAGUUACAAUUGGGGAGACUUGGGCUCACAGAGCUCUGAAUAAAGAAGCAUACCGAAGGAGGCAGAAAGAGUGGGAGCUUCCACAGACAAGCAGGCAAGGCGGAAGAUGCCUUUGUAGGAGGUCCCACUGGAGUCCGCGUAGAGGAGUGGGCAGAAAGACGGGGAGCAGCCCACGCGCACAGGUUGUAAGAUUAGAAAAACGCCGCACCACACCACACAGAUUACCAAAGAGUUUUCCCACUUUAUUACAAAAGGCUGUGUGUUUAUAUAGGUCUAAGGAGAGGUCGCAGGGCUGAGGUAGAUAACAGGUCGCCCAUUUAUUGGCAAGCUCUUCCAUAUGUCAGUUCCAGAGCCCAAGAAGUUAAUUCUAAUUGGGGCUAAGGCUUCCCACCAGCAGGGUUUGGACAUUGGCUCCUGCGGGAAGUUUUCGCGCCAGUGAAAGAAACAAAGAGGAGAAGGAGGUUCGUUAGACGCCAUGCUGGGGUUUUUCUCGGGGUGUGGCAGGGAGUCCCAGGGCCGCAGUCUGAUCGCCCCACAUCACCCCUCUCUAGUGUCUGGACCCACUACAUUAGCUGGCAGCUUCAGAUGCAGGGGGAGUCCAGGUGCCCAAGGCUCACCUUCCCAGGCGGCAGCUGAGAUGGCCAAGUCCUGUCCCCAGGGACUUCCCCACACCACCUCAGAAAGCUCCUAAUGAGCCUUCCAUUGUGAUUUUCUUUCACUUUUCACACUUGUAAUGCGUUGAUGAAAAUAAAACCUCACUUGAAUAUGGUCUGCUGGCCUUUUUAUUAAAAUUUAAUGUCAGGUCCCUGUGGACUCAGUCUGAGGAACGGUAGGGAGGCUGCAGAUGCGCUCCCCCAGUCUCCCAGCGGGAGCACCUUUCAGAGUGUCAGCGCAGGGUGGACCACGGUGUGGCUCGCUGAUCUUACGUUUCCUGGGUUUACCUGUGGGGUGCGUGUGGCGUGUGCCGUGAGGCACAAUGUGUGGUCUGUGGUGUGGCGUCUUUGCCUUCAAUGGUAACCAGGCUGGCUUCCCACCCUGGUUAGGACCACCCUCCUCCCCGCUCAUCACCUGCGUCCAUAGCCCACGGCAACCACUGAUAUGUUCCAUUCGCAAAAUUUUGUCAUUUCAAGAACAUUAUGGGAAUGGCAUUGUGGGGUUCAAGAAAGAUACCCAACGUGAAGCUUCAGAAGCAGUUGUCCUCUGACCUUGACCCACAGCAGGUUGGACUUCUCCCAAGGCAGGUCCCAGAAGCUCUGACCUCCCAGCCUCUGUCUUGGAGCUGCCCACGGUGAAAUCCUCUGACCUGCCUUUCCUGGUGGAUCAUGGAAACUUUCAGAAGGCUCCUGCCUACACCUGGGGGGCAGAAGUUGCAGAGAGGUCAGGGGUCUACAGGACAGCCCUGCUGUCCCAAGUCCACUACUGAGACUGGACUCCUUUAUCCAUUGUUAUUUUUCCACAUGCUGCGUCAAACCUAAGCUCAAAAACUGUUAGUUGGCUCUGGGUCUUGGGUCUUCCAUCUGAAGGCUCCCACGUGACAUGAUGCCAUGACCAAUAAGCAUGGGAUGCUUUUGUGUUGUUACCCUGUCUUUGUUAUGGGUGUUGGUCCUGACCCUGUGUGACGGACAGGCAGUGAGACCCCUCCCUCCCUCACCUGGAGACAGGAGAGCAGGUUAGCGGCCGGGGGAUUCUCACAACAGCGAGCUGCCAGGAUGCGCUGGGCUGUGAGUGGGAGCUGCCCUCCCCAGUACACUAGGAGGGGUCAUACACAGCUGCCCAGGUGUUCCUCACCUAGGAGCCCAAGACACAAAACUCACCUGUGUGCACGUUUAAAGUAAGAGGACAGGCUCUGAUGCCUGGGAUGUUUUCCUAGUGAAUCUUUCAGACAUUCAUAAAAUACACAAGAUUGGAUUUGAAUAAUUUCCACUCUGCUCACUGCCCCUUUCCUCUCUGUUUGCCAGGGUCCCCAUCCUGGUCACCUCUAACCAUCCCCUCUGCCCUCUCCACAGCCCUUCCUGGAGGACACCCAUGAUGUCCAAGGGCUUAUGUGCGAUGGGGCCUCUGGGCCAAAGCCCUGACAGGCAGGAAGACACCCAGUUAGUCUCUGCCCCAGAGGGUUGCCUAGUCAGCCUCUGCCCCAAGCAGGAUGCGGGGGCUGGUUUCCGUGGAAUGCAGAUUUGUGCUAUCUUGGCAUCCUUGUAAUGCAGCAAGGUCACAUUUUGAAGGAAAAGUGCCUGUGUUCAGCUCGCUCCACACUGUCUUAACAAGCUGCUCCUGUCUGCUUAGCAGCACCUAUGGUGCUAGGAGUGUUAAAACCAAAGAAAAGCCCUUGGCAUUGGCCACUAUCUGUAUGAUGCAGGCACUCUGUCAGCCACAUAAGUUCCAGCUAUGGCAGCUCUCAGCCUUGUGUGGUGUGACCCCGGCUUUUCAGAUGGGAGCUAUGUGAGUAAGUCACUUGUCCAAGGUCACUGGCUUAUCAGAGCAGAGCUAGGAGACUGAACUCAGGCCCUAAUCCUAAUUCUCUUUCCCCCCAGCCCUGUUGGUCAUUAACUGACAUUGCAGUGGGAUGUGAGGCUCUUGAAGACAGCCUCUGAAUGCUCCCGGGGAAGGACGUCACAGCUCCAGAGUCUGCAUCCCAGCCUGAGGAGGAAGACGGAGCCAGUGUGGAGUGGAAUCGUUCCUUCACAAGCGGCUGCUUCUGUGUGUGAGCAGGAAGGAUUCCAGGGUGUGCAAAGAGAAGCUCGAGCCCUGGGACAGGGCUGGACAAGGCAGAGCCUGGGGAGGGCAGAGAGACAGCGGCUUUGACCCGAGGCCUGAGGCCUGACGUCGGACUGUUGCUCCCCUCACUGCUGUGAAUAAGGAAGUGCACCUCACGUGGAGACCCCAGGGAGGGUCUUGGAGUGAUUCAAGAAAAAGAGCUGAGCCCUGCUUUUGUCGACACCAGGUGGAAAUAAGAGCCAGACAGUGCGCAGCAGGAUGUCGCCAAGACGGCCCCAGGCCAGUGGAGUCUGAGAAAGCAGAGCCCCGGAAAGCCCAGGCAGCCUCAGGGAACAGCCUACACACAGCCCCGUUCCACCAGCUGAUCGUCUCAGGGUCUCAGAAGGAGCCGUCCUAGGUCCUGGUCAUGUCUACACCCCACAGAAAGCCCACGCACGCUGGAGGAAGAUUCCUCUCACUGGCAGUUUGACAUUCCAGCCGGGCGGGGGAUUAUAGCCGAUGUCCCUAAACGGACAAUAUUCCCAACACUUGAGAAAGAAAGCAGUUUCUCCACCAGGAUCUCCCUGGAAAGAAUUAGGCCCCAGGCCUAGCCCCAGGCUCCCCCGUGUGGGGUGAAUUCCCUUCCUACACCUGAAGGGACUAGUCCAUACCCCAGGAUACUGAGGACUGGGCCAGCAACUGCAGGUCGGCCUGUGGCGGCCCCAGCUUGGGUGUAAUGGUACAACAGGAAGGACAGAAGUGGUCGGUGACACAGCCCCUGCGCCUUGUGCUCAGCACGCCCAGACACAAGGGUCCAGAGAACAUGGGAAAAAUUGUCACUUUCUCACACACGCCGGCUUUAUGGUUGCUUAUUUUGGUUCUUCUUCUUCCUCAUACUUGACACCAGGAUGCAGUUUGACAUAAUUAUAAAAGCAUGGACUAUAAUUCGCUCUAGUUCAGUCCCCAGGACUAGCCCUGCCCUUCCCUCUGCUCCACUGACCUUUCCGCUAUUCACUUAGAGUUGUGGUUUUUUAAUAGUUAGUGUCCUGUGGAUGUCUGUGAUGGUGAGGUCCACUGUGGCCUGCCCUCAUGUCCACAGGAACGUGGGGUCCGACUCUCUCCGCUGCUCUUCCCUUCUGCUGCCACUUCUGCCUGCUCCUGAUUCCUCCUCAUCUGGUCCACCAAUCUUUCUUGUAUUUUGAUGGAAUCUCUCCCCCUGUUUUUCCCUUUCUCUCUCUUUAUCCCCCCCCCUUUUUUUUCAACUAGCUUCCACAAAUCACAGAAAACAUUCAGACUCUGUCUUUCCAAAUCUGGAUUUUUUCACUUCACAUGAUGGUCUGUAGUUCCAUCCACUGACCAGCAAAUGCCAUAGGUCAUUCUUUUUUAUGACCGAUUAAUACUCCAUUGUAUUUAUGAACCACAUUUUCUUUACCCAAUCAUCUGUUGAAGGGUGCCUAGGUCGGUUCCAAGCUUGGCUAUUGGGAAUUGGGCUGUUAUAAAUAUUGGUGGGGCUGUGUCAAUAUAGUAUGCUGAUUUAAAAUCCUUUGGAUAUAUACUGAGGAGGGGGAUAGGUGGAUCAUAUGGUGGUUCCAUUCUUGGUUUUUUGAGAAAUCUUCGUACUGCAUUCAGAAUGGCUGCCCUUAUUUAUAGUCCCACCAAUACUGUAGGAGCGUACCUUUUGCCCCACAUCCUUGCCAGCAUUUAUUAUUAUUUAUAUUCUUGAUGGUUGCCAUUCAGAUUAGAGUGAGAUAAAAAUCUCAAGGUAGUUUUGAUUUGUGUUUCCCUGAUUGCUAGGGAUGUUGAGCAUUUUUUUUCAUAUAUUUGUUGGCCAAUUGUAUUUUGAGUAGAAAAUAAGCGCAUCACAGCUUUUGCCCUGUGAUUUGAUCUGCCUUUUGGAUCUCCCAUAGAAAGCAAUGCUGUCUCAAGGAACUGGCCAGCCUUUGUUCCUCCGCUGACCUCCUAAUACAGGUUGUGCAUCCUUUUCCAAAAUGAUCUAGACCAGAAGUGUUUCAGAUUCUAGAUCUUGGAAUUUUUUUGCAAAGAUUUUACUAGUUGAACAUCCUUAAUCUGAAAAUCAGAAAUCCAAGAUGGUCCUAAAUCUAGAACCUUCUGAGCAUUGACAUAGUGCUUCAGAUUUAGAUUUUGGAUUUUCAGUUUAGGGAGCUCCAUCUGUCUAAGUUAAUGAGUUCGUCUUUUGAAAUAAAAAAAAAAAUGUUGGAUCUUCUUGACUGCUAAAUUCUGUGGGUUCUGAGUUGAGACCCUGGUCUGGGAUGUGGUGGUCCCCUAUAAGCCUGGAGUGCCAGAGAGGCCCUGGGUGAGGGUCCUACACUCCUGAGUCCAUUCCCCAGGACAAAGGCCUAAGGGAUGGUGCCCCUUAUGGCACUGAAACCCCUGGGGGCCUAUGCAUGGGAAAUUGGUGUGUGACCAGUGGAGAUGACACCUCUCCCCAAGCCAGGAAGCUGCCGGCCCCUGCCAUCUGCUCACCUUCCCAAAGGGCUCCAGGAGUCAGCAGCACUGGCGGGGUUCGGAGGGCUCGUUAGCUACUUAGCUCGGCGUUUAGAGGAGCAGAGUUCCAUUAGUCUUCAGGCUUGCCUUCAGAUCUCGGCAGGAAUCAGGCUUCUGACAGGGCAGAUUCCCGUAAUUUCAUUUCAGCACAAGUCUCUGCCUUACCCGAGUCUCUUCUCCACCUGCUUAAUUGCUGCCCCCAGCAAAAGUGCCGCCGCCUGCUACCACUUUGCUAGUGCUCUACGAGAUCAACGUUGGACUGAGAGCCAUUAAUAUUCUUGGUUUGGUGUUAGCUGCAGAAAUAUAUAUCUAAAAAGGAAAAGACCUCAUUUAUCCUGCCAAAAAAAUAUUAGCUCCCCUGCUAAAGACCAGAGUAAUUGAAAUGCUGUUGCCUGAAGGGAGACCAGGUGAACCAGGGAAGUCUGAGCUUUAGGACGAUCCCACCUCAGGCUGUGGCUUUAUGACAUUUCCUUGCUUCACUUUGAUCUGCAGAGGGUUCUGGAGAGGGGCCUGGAGCUGACCCUGGUAACCAACUUAGGAUGGAUUUAUUUCACUGGUGUGGGGUAACGGCCUCUCCCAGUGGGGUUCCUCAGAGACCUCCUGCUUCUCUGUUGGGCUGUCCCAUCGCACAGUCCUGAGAACCACUCGGCACAGAGGCCUCCCGUGAUAGUCUCUCCGUUGGCCAGGUGACGAUGACAUGCACCUGGGGGCAGCUGUGGGAUGCAUCGUAAGGGCUGGCCAUGGCAGGCAGGCCAGCGGCUGCAGGGGUUCAGGUUGUGAGCAGCAUAAUGAAAGCCAGGCCCUGCAAGUCUGACGGGUCUUGGUGGGGAGGGAUGGGGACCUUAGUCUGGAGCAAGCUGAACCAGACCUAGUUAUGCUGGGAGGGAGCUAGGCAACAAGUGGGGUCUGGCAGGCAGAGCCUGGCUCCCGAAACCAGCAGCAGCACUGGACGGUCACCCAGGUCUUCAGCUCCGCUGGGGUCCCCGAAAGUGCAUCGCCUGAGGGACAUGAAGUGUGGUCUAGGCACCCCACAGGCAUCGGGUUCACAGCCAGGUGGGCAGCCAGGAGAGAAAGACCGCAGCCUCGGGGAGCCCGGGAAAUGGGCAGGUGUCCAAGGAAGAGCCCUGAGUCCAGGAGGGAAGGUGGGUCUCACUUGCCAGAGCCCUAACCUGGUCUUGCACACAAAGGGGAUGCCCGCCGUUGAACCGGGCCCAGAAGCAGCACGAAUUGGGAUGCUGCCUGAGACCCGCCACAGUGGACACAGGCUGCGGGGACAGUGGACCAGUGCAUUCCAGGGGCGGAUUCUUCCCCCAAAUUCACCUGCAGCUGACCCAGAGCCUGAAUGUCUGUGGGACAUUGACCUCUGGACAUGGGGUGAGCAGGCCCAGAAUCAAAGGCCCCAUAGGCCAGGAACCCAG
rnacentral:lncRNA from 1 species